rnacentral:rRNA from 1 species
CAUUAAGCGGAGGAAAAGAAACUAACAAGGAUUCCCUGAGUAGCGGCGAGCGAAACGGGAAGAGCCCAGCACUGAAUCCUGACGUGUCAACGCACGGUGGAAAUGUAGUGUGUGGGAGGAUCUAUACAAGCCGGUGGGGACCUCGUUUAAGUCCGUCUUGAAAGCGGCCACAGCCCACAGAGGGUGCCAGGCCCGUAUGACGAUGGUGGAUCCCGCCGGCAUGGGUCUCUCCCCGGAGUCGAGUUGCUUGAGAGUGCAGCUCUAAGCGGGAGGUAAACUCCUUCUAAGGCUAAAUACGACCACAAGACCGAUAGCGAACAAGUACCGUGAGGGAAAGUUGAAAAGCACUUUGAAGAGAGAGUUCAAGAGUACGUGAAACCGUUCAGGGGUAAACGAAUGUUAUCUGGAAAAUCGAAGCGAGAGAUUCAAACCGUACGUCGGUAAGUUCACGCGAUUGUCUCCGAUCAUCUGAGUCCCCCGCGCGCUGCAGCAAUGCACGCCGGUGUGGAUACACAGCAUGCACGGACGGCAUGUCGCUGGCGCCGGCAUCGGUCUGCACUUUUCUCGUGGUAGUACGCCGCGACUCGUUGGGUGCGCGUCCAAGGCCCACGCGGGAGCCGGCACCAAAUGCGCGCUUCUAGCGAGCACACGGAGCCGACCGCGAGGUGACCCGACGAGCUUGCCCGACGGUGUACAAGCGAUACGAAAAGAGUCGCGUGCUCUGUGCACACGAUUGCUAUCUCUCGAUAGUACGUUCUCGCGUCAGCGGCGCUCC